rnacentral:misc_RNA from 1 species
GAUGAAGAACGUAGCGAAUUGCGAUAUGUAAUGUGAAUUGCAGAUUUUCAGUGAAUCAUCGAAUCUUUGAACGCACCUUGCGCUCCUUGGUAUUCCGAGGAGCAUGCCUGUUCGAGUGUCAUUACACCACUCAAGCUAUGCUUGGUAUUGGGCGUCGUCCUUAGUUGGGCGCGCCUUAAAGACCUCGGCGAGGCCACUCCGGCUUUAGGCGUAGUAGAAUUUAUUCGAACGUCUGUCAAAGGAGAGGAACUCUGCCGACUGAAACCUUUAUUUUUCUAGGUUGACCUCGGAUCAGGUAGGGAUACCCGCUGAACUUAAGCAUAUCAAUAAGCGGAGGA